AACGAACGCUGGCGGCAGGCCUAACACAUGCAAGUCGAGCGCCCUUUCGGGGGAGCGGCGGACGGGUGAGUACCGCGUGGGAAUAUGCCCUUCUCUACGGAAUAGCCUCGGGAAACUGAGAGUAAUACCGUAUACGCCCUUUGGGGGAAAGAUUUAUCGGGGAAGGAUUAGCCCGCGUUGGAUUAGGUAGUUGGUGGGGUAAUGGCCUACCAAGCCGACGAUCCAUAGCUGGUUUGAGAGGAUGAUCAGCCACACUGGGACUGAGACACGGCCCAGACUCCUACGGGAGGCAGCAGUGGGGAAUCUUAGACAAUGGGGGCAACCCUGAUCUAGCCAUGCCGCGUGAGUGAUGAAGGCCGUAGGGUUGUAAAGCUCUUUCAGCUGGGAAGAUAAUGACGGUACCAGCAGAAGAAGCCCCGGCUAACUCCGUG
rnacentral:rRNA from 1 species